UACGAAGGGGGCUAGCGUUGCUCGGAAUUACUGGGCGUAAAGCGCACGUAGGCGGCUUUCUAAGUCGGGGGUGAAAUCCUGGAGCUCAACUCCAGAACUGCCUUUGAUACUGAGGAUCUUGAGUUCGGGAGAGGUGAGUGGAACUGCGAGUGUAGAGGUGAAAUUCGUAGAUAUUCGCAAGAACACCAGUGGCGAAGGCGGCUCACUGGCCCGGUACUGACGCUGAGGUGCGAAAGCGUGGGGAGCAAACAGG
rnacentral:rRNA from 1 species